GCACUGGUGGUUCAGUGGUAGAAUUCUCACCUUCCAUGCAGAAGACCUAGGUUCAAUUCCUGGCCAAAGCA
rnacentral:tRNA from 1 species